GGUGCCCAAGGAACCCAAUCCCUAUAGCUUUUUCAGCAAAAGACAUACCACAUGCAAGAAUCAGAUAUGCUGUUGAUCUCAUGUUCAGCCCCUACAACAAGCUAUAUGAUGAAAAGAAACGUGUCAAGGAGUACUGCCUAUAGGCCUUCAAAAAGAGGGGAGAACAAACAUGCGUCGCCAUUUGUUGUGCAUCAUUCGUAACAAGAAUUUGCAACACUUACAAAGAUCAACAACACCGCAAAAAGUGGUCAGCAAAUUCUUGGAAGCUGGAGCAUCAACAUUUUGAAGAUUUUGUUGCAAAAGGGCUCUCUGGUUGGAGUAAUCUGGAUGUUGUGC